rnacentral:rRNA from 1 species
GCCUACGGCCAUACCACCCUGAGAACGCCCGAUCUCGUCUGAUCUCGGAAGCUAAGCAGGGUCGGGCCCGGUUAGUACUUGGAUGGGAGACCGCCUGGGAAUACCGGGUGUCUGUAGGCU